rnacentral:rRNA from 1 species
AUUGAACGCUGGCGGCAGGCCUAACACAUGCAAGUCGAGCGAGUGGCGGACGGGUGAGUAAUGUCUGGGAAACUGCCUGAUGGAGGGGGAUAACUACUGGAAACGGUAGCUAAUACCGCAUACCCUCAGAUGUGCCCAUAUGGGAUUAGCUUGUGUGUGGGGUAAUGGUUCACCAAGGCGACGAGCCCUAGCUGGUCUGAGAGGAUGACCAGCCACACUGGAACUGAGACACGGUCCAGACUCCUACGGGAGGCAGCAGUGGGGAAUAUUGCACAAGGGGCGCAAGCCUGAUGCAGCCAUGCCGCGUGUAUGAAGAAGGCCUUCGGGUUGUAAAGUACUUUCAGCGGGGAGGCGUUACUCGCAGAAGAAGCACCGGCUAACUCCGUGCCAGCAGCCGCGGUAAUUC